GACAGAGGCCACGAACGUUGUUCGGAAUCACUGGGCAUAAAGCGCACGUAGGCGGCUAGGUCCGUCCAAUGUGAAAGCCCCCGGCUCAACCGGGGAAUUGCAUCGGAUACAGCCUAGCUUGAGGACGGUUGGGGUGAGUGGAACUCCUGGUGGAGCGGUGAAAUGCGUAGAUAUCAGGAGGAACACCGGUGGCGAAAGCGGCUCACUGGACCGUAACUGACGCUGAGGUGCGAAAGCUAGGGGAGCAAACGGG
rnacentral:rRNA from 1 species